AAAUGCUUUAUGAUCCUGGUGUUAUAACAUGCUUGCCUUGAAUUUAUGCCUUAUCAUCUCAUGCUUUCCUUUCUAUCUGUUCCCCUUCAGAAACUGGCAAAAUUCGAACUGAUUCAAUAUAACGUUGACCAGGAUGAGCCGGUGAGGGAUGAGAAAGGAUAUUGCAUCCCAGUGGCCACAGGUAAUAAAACAAGCAUACAUUUACAUCCACACCAUAGGUUUAAAGCACUCUUAUGCCACUUUAAAAGCCAUGGCUUGCCCCCAAAGAAUUGCAGGAACUGUAAUUUUGCAAGGGUGCAAAACUGUAGCUCUGUAUGGGGUCUCCUAACAUCUCUCAGCACUCUUGACUUCAGAAUUUUGGUUUCUCACUUCAGUGUGUGUGUGUGUGUGUGUGUGUGUGUGUGUGUGUGUUUGGGUCCAGCAUCACAUACAAGCACUAAUUUUACAUAUGAAUUGCCCAGUCCACAAAACUCUUAGGCGCAUUACAGGAAGAUUUUUUUUUUUUAAGAUUGUCUAUAGAAUUUCUGGAAUGUCUUUUUCCCAAGAGAACUCAAGGUGAAUUAUAAAUGAUUAAAUAUAAAAUACGUGGGGAUACUUUUGAAAGUGAUCCGGAAACUACAAUUAAUCCAGAAUGCAGCAGCUACACUGGUGACAGGGAGUGGCUGCUGAGGCCAUAUAACACCGGUCCUGAAAGACCUACAUUGGCUCCCAGUAUGUUUCCGAACACAAUUCAAAGUGUUGGUGCUGACUUUUAAUGCCCUAAACGGCUUCAGCCCAGUAUACCUGAAGGAGUGUCUCCACCCUUAGCGCUCAGCCUGGACACUGAGGUCCUUCUUCAAGGGUCUUCUGGUGGUUCCCUCACUGCGAGAAGUAAGGUUACAGGGAACCAGGCAGAGAGCCUUCUUGGUAGUGGCACCUGCCCUGUGGAAUGCCCUCCCAUCAGAUGUCAAGGAAAUAAACAACUAUCUGACUUUUAGAGGAAAUUUGAAGGCAGCCCUGUUUAGGGAAGUUUUCAAUGUUUGAUGUUUUAUCGUGUUUUUAAUAUUCUGCUGGGAGCCGCCCAGAGUGGCUGGGGAAAACCAGCUGGAUGGAUGGGGUAUAAAUAAAUUAUAUAUAAAUUAAUAAUAAUAUUCUGAACCAACUCAGAAACAAAUGAAGAUUUAAAGGGUUUUGUACUUUUUAAGGAACUAUCCAGUUUAUUUUAAGACCAGGAAUGUUCCAAAGGGGUAAAAGCACUUUUGUGUACGCACUAUACUUUAAGGAACAUUUGAAAUGCAUUCUUUCCCUUAAAGAAUUCUGGGUAUUGUAGUUAGUUGGGGAUGCUGGGAAUGGUAGCUCCGUGAGGUGUAAACUUCAAGGGGAAGGCAUGCAAAGCUACCUUUUCCAUUCAGCUCCUGUACUCUAAAAACAUUGUCCUUUAUGAGUGUAAUUGUUUAUAGUAGUCUGGUCCAGUCAAUUUCACCACUGUGUUGAUUUGUUAUGGGGCAUGGGGAAAUAGAACAGAAUUACCAAGGUUCUCCUUCCUUCCCUUCCAAGGCGAGACAGGAUUACUGGUGGCCAAGAUCACUAGCCAUACCCCAUUCUCUGGCUACGCAGGAGACCGUCAGAAGUCGGAGAAGAAGAUUCUCCGGGAUGUUUUUACCAAAGGAGACUGCUAUUUCAACAGUGGUGACCUCCUGAUGCAAGACCAUGAUGGCUUUCUAUAUUUUCAGGACCGGGUAGGAGACACUUUCCGGUGAGUCCCACCUCUCCAGGUGGGGUGGGAUCUGCUGCACUUGGUCUGCCGAGGUUGCAAUUUCAGAUGAUAUACACCGUAUUUUUCCGUGUAUAAGACGCUCCCAUGUCUAAGAUGCCCCCUUUUUUGGGGGGACUCCAAAUUAAGAAAAAAACCCUCAGCACCACCCAUGUAUGAGACGAGCCCCAAUUUUAAACCUAAUUUUUUGGUUAAAAACCCCUAGUCUUAUACAUGGAAAAAUACGGUAUAUCUGUUGUUGGCAUUAUGCCAGGUAUAGCAUAUAACACAGUGCAAAUUUAUGCAAGGUAUAUUUAGAAGCAGGGGAGUACUGAAAUGUCUCGGGGACAGGCCCCUGACAGAAGCCUGCAUGAGAUUUGCAUUUGCUCAUUUAUAUUCAUAGAUGCAAAUUUCUGCUUGGCUGCAGUCUCACUGCCCCUUUGCUUUGCAAUAUACCCAGCAGCCCUCAAAGCAAAUGGUUGAGGGGAAACAACAGGAGAUCUGGCUGUUGGUGCAAAAGACCCACAAUUUGAUUCUCAGGGUUUGUCCUUGCCUCCGUUUGCCCCACUUCUGCCCCCUUCCACUCCUUAUGGAAACUCAAUCUUUAGCACCAAAUGCAACUGGAUUUUCCACGAUUGCUGUUUGUUCCGAUUUAUCACUAAAGAGUGGGUUUUCCAGGGGGAAAUGACAGGGCAAAGGCAAAAUCACUCAAACCCAUGCCCAGAAAGCAUGACAGAAGUUGAAAACUGCUGAGCCCUGUGCUUUCAAGUGGAAGUGUGGACGAGCCCUUAGCAAACACCUCAGGAAGAAAGAUGACAGAAACACAUGUACUGUAAAUGUCCUUAUUCUGUACAGAGAUCAUUCAUAUUGUGAUGUUGAAAGGAGGCAGGAAAACAAGCAAUGUGCCAGGAAGUUUCUGGUUCUGAUCUGCAAUGAACACUGUCAGAUUGUUGCUCAGACCCACACCUCAUGUGAAAGCCCCACUGCUGAUCCUGGGAGCCUACUUAGUGGGGAAGGAGAGCUGAAAAGAAUGCCAAUAUAUUUCACAUCUGGCAACCAAUGCACUCCUUUGGUUUCAGAUAGUACAUGGGUAGACAAAUCUAAAAUGCCUGGGACACAAAUUUUCACAGCCCUCUAGCAACUAUGGUGGCUUGGUUACCAGAAGUAAUGUAUUUAGCAUUAGCAAAAUGCACACCAGGAGAUUUAGUUUGGUCCAAAUCAGGUAUAAACUUCCAGAGUGAACAUUAAAUACAUCAGUUCUGGUAAAUGAGCCGCCGUAGCCACGAGAGGGCUGUGGAAAUUUGGGUCCUGGAUUUUGACUCAUCUGCCCAUGUCGUAUCUGAAACCAAAGGGGCACAGUGGUUGCUGGAUGUGAAUUCCUCCCCCCAGCUCUCCUACCCCACUACCUGGUCCUAUUCUUCCUCCUUCUUGCUGUUGCUGCUUGCUCUCUUGCUGACUCUGAGCUAGCAGAAGGUGUAGGAAGAAGCAGGGAUGUGUGCCUGCUUUGGUUUAUUCUGAUGUUUUAUUAUGGGGCUUAAAUGGACAGACAUUGAGGGGUGAGCACACAGGAGUGUGCCAACUCUGCCCCCACCUUCCUGCCACCCUCCACAGAUUUAAAGACUAUGGCACAAUAUUGUACACAAAGCACUUUGAACACUCAAGAGCGGGAAAGAAAUGCUGUGGUAGUUGCUCUUAACAUAAUAGGCAUGCUCAUCUCCCCAAACGGUAACUGUUCCCCUCUCUCUGCAGCUGGAAAGGGGAGAAUGUGGCCACCACGGAGGUUGAGACGACCUUGGCAAUGCUGGAGUCGGUUCAGGAAGCCAGUGUCUAUGGUGUGCCGGUGCCAGGUGGGUCCUGAAGUGCCAUUCUUAAAUGCAACUUUGGGCAGCCAGAGUUAGCAUCUGUGGCAUCAGGAGAUCGGCUCCACAGCAGCAGGCUAAGGGAAGAGGUAUUGAGGAUAGUCCAUUGUACCUGCCAUCUUUGGACACUGGUACCAUUUCCAGUCACAGUUUGAAGUGCCUGUGAGUCCCACGGUCUAUAGAGCACAAGGUGUCUAAACCAGAGGUGGGGAACCUAUGCUGCCCCAAAUGUCACUGGACUCCAGCUCCCAUCUGCCCCGGAAGGUAUGGCCGGCAGCUCGCCUCUGCUCCCCCUCCACUGAAAAAAUGUCCUUCACCCACAAUGCUUCCACACUGGGCAUUCAUUGUGGAAUAGCCGCACUUUGUUCACUCUCCUUAUGAUGGAUCUGCAGAAUGUGCUGAACAGAGAUUUAGAAUCGCAGAGUUGGAAAGGACCCCAGCGGUCAUCUAGUCCAAACCUCUGCAAUGCAGGAAUCACAGUUAGAUCCAUUAGGUCAACAGUGUUUAUUUUGAAAUGCUGCUUUAUUUUUAUAUGCUGCUUCUCCACUGAAGAGAUACAAGACAGUGAAUGUAAUAUGCAACACUUUCACAUCGAUAGAUUGCAUCAGCUUGUAACACAAACAAAAAACCUGCCCUGGCCACAAAUUAUACCACUUCUUCUUCCUUUUCCUAAUGGCCCUUCUCCCUUUCUAUUAGUCCCACAUUAAUACCGUCAGUGGCACAAAGAGUGCAAGAGAAGCUGGAAGGCAUGUCUCUGGUGACAUGUGUGAAAUGUGUUUUGCUAGCUAAUAUAUGUUUUGCUAGCUACAGUGGGAAGGAGAGCUGGAAAAAACACACAUCUGGCAACUAAUGGGCCCCUUUGGUUUCAGAUAGCACAUGGGUAGAGAAAUCUACAAAGCCCGCGACACGAAUUUUCACGGCCCUCUAGCGGCUAUGAUGGCUCAUUUGCCAAAAGUAAUGCAUUUUGUGUUAACUCUGGAAGCGCAGACUCAAUUCUGACCAAACUAAGCAUCCUAGGGCAAAAUAUAGAUCAGAAGGCUUAGUCUGGUCAGAAUUGAGUCUACUCUUCCAGAGUUAACACGAAAUACCUCACUUCUGGUAAAUGAGCCACCAUAGCCACUAGAGGGCUGUGAAAAUUUGUGUCCCGGGCUUUUUAGAUUCAUCUACCCCUGUAUUAUCUGAAACCAAAGGGGUGUAUUGGUUGCCAGAUAUGAAAUACGUUGGCACUAUUUCCAGGUUUCCUACUUAGAAGGGCUCCCACAACGAUCAGAGCAAAGUCACAAACCAUGACAUUGCACCACUGGCAGAUAUGCUAGCACAAAUAUUUGAGAUCAAGAUGCCAGUUAGGUUAAUCUUUUUCUCUAGUCCACAUACUUCCUUGUGCUACAGGCAGACAUAUUCAGAUGUAACCCUUUUAUCUAUUCUGAGUUGUACUGUGGACAAUGAAAAUGUUUGCGGGAGCAAAAAUCCAUUCACCUCCCAGGGUGCAAGAUGGACUGAUCAUUUCCCCUCUAAUGUAGAGGAUGUGGUUAUUUGUGACAUAGCUAAAAGCCAGAAAGACCAGAACCAACUUCUUUGCUAUUUACAACAUGUUCUCUACUUGGUUGCCAACAAGCAAUUUUUAAUGUCCCACCGGCAAGCCCAGGCCAGUGGCUAUUUACAAGCCUAUUUAAUUAAUUAUUUCAUGGCAUGUAUAUUGUGCUUUAAAAAAAAAAUCAUUUCUAAGCGGUGUAUGUAAAGAUCAGCCACAUAAAGUAUAAUGAAAAAUUCAUCAUAAAACCGAACAUGAAUCCCAAGCAUACGAUAAAACCAUAACUUCCAGCCUCCCUAUAAAUGCAAUAAAAGAAAAGCAGCCUGGAAAGCAGGUGUCUAAGCUAGCUUCUGAAAUAGCAGAAGGAGAUGAUAGUAAUUUCAGAACUACAAAAUCUAUAUGCAUAAGGGUGGGUGGGAAUAUGUGAAGGAGAAAAACAAUCUGAAAGAGAAAAUUCACUUGGCAAGAAAAAGAAUGAGCCAUACUGGGUUCUCCGUAUAGUCUAGGAGUAGGUAAAGGAACAAUGUUCACAGAAUACAAUUUCCCCAAAGCGACAUUAACAUGUUUUAUUAUUUACUGCUGAAGGAGGGUCCAUUUGCACAUCAGGGUGCAGGACAAAUGUCUGCAACUGUUGCACGUCUAGAGCAGUUAGUUGUGACAAGUGAAGCACCAGGACACAAGCACUUUUUUUUAAUGCGAUAAGUUUUAUAUUGCAGUUUCCUGCAACAACAUCCUCUUGUUUGAUCCCUGUCCAGCUUCCAUUUUUCUUUCAAAUCUCAGAAAAUCUGACUUAAUAACAAAUAAGAAAAUUCCAUAGAAUAGCUGUGCAAUUUUCCCCAGGUGUAGAUGGCCUGUAAUGCUGCUGUUCUACUGGGUUAUGGCUUGUAUAGAUUGUUGUAGCCAUUUCCUGGCUUAUGCCACUCUCCAGUGGGUGCCCAGUCCUAGAGGAUAUCAAAUAGCAAAGCACUCCCCAGCAGGGACAGGGUUGCAGAUGGAGCACAGUGCAAACAAACCAAGGUCAAGCAUGGAGAGUCAGCCAAGGUCCAAGGUAUAAACCAGAAGCAACAUCAGGCAACAAUCCAAGGCUAAUAGCGCAGGGAGUUCAGGCAAGCUGCAGGAACUAGAAUCAGGAGCCAGAGACCUGUGCUGUUGCGUGGCGAAUUCCCGUCCCCCCCAAGUGGAAAUAAUGACACAAUUAUUAAGGUUAAUGGGCUAAAAAAGGCCACAACUUUAUUGGUUACAGGUGAUGAGUGGUAUUGGCUUAGGCAUUCGUCCUAACCGCCUAUAUCCAACUUCAGCCCAUCCGCUUGAAGUCCGGGAAGGGUUAACCACCAGUAGAGGGAGUCCUGCUGAGGCACAUCAACUAGGAACUUCCCCGGGGUCACCGAUAGGGGGCGUGCCUUAGGCCCUCACCUCCCCAGGCUUCGGACAGGGCCACGCCCCUCGGAAUCCUUUAUUGGACUACCCUUCAAUAUGCAGGGCAGGUGAUGGCAUUACCUCCCCUCUUCCAUCUACAGAAAUAUACCAAUGCCUAACCGCCAAUACCUGGCAAGUUAUGACAAUUGCUAUGAGGUAGGCGAAAACCAAGUGGCUGGUGCCAAUUUGCCAAGUGGAAAAAUUCCUACCAGGCCCCUCAAUGGUGACCAACCAAGGUCCAUAGCAAGGUCAAAGAACAAAGCCUUAUAGGGUGGGAGGGUGGGAAAACCAAACAGCGGAUGAGCGGCAAAGAGGAGAUCCCGGCCGCAUUCUGCCUUUAUAGGGCAGGCCACGCCCCCGAACCAGCCAAUUGGCCAGCCAGGGAGUGACGCGGCCAGGAAUCCCCCCAAUCGCACGGGGCUAGCCUCCACCCACCGCGCGCGUGGAGAGGAUGUGAAGCCCGCAACCCCACCUCCUCUGAAGGGCAGAAGUGGCUUUUCCAGCAACUGAAAGGCUCGGGAGACUCUUUACUCAUGAGCUGUGUGUUGACUCUGAGUCUGUAGCAGAGGUGCAUUUAGGGGAGCGAGACUGGUCCGCCCGCACUGGGCACUGAAUCAAGAGGGUGCCUGUAGCGGCACCACAACAACGACAAACAACAGAAGCGGAGAGGUGAAGGGGUGCCAAAUUUUUAUGUCACACACAUGCUACGUCAUUGCUCUUCAGCCACAGACCUGGAUCUUUCACACACACACACACACACACACACACACACACACACACACACAAAAUUUUUCUGUUUUACAAUUUAAAGUACUCAUUUAUAUAUCCUUAACAUACCAAUGACUUCCCUUCCUCUCUUUCCAUGGCUCAUUUUACAUAUGAUAAAUUCCUGCAUAUUUUACAGAAACUAUACCAUUCAGUAUUCCAUUAUUACAUGCAUCAUAACUUAUUUACACUGUUGAAUUUAUCUUAAUGCUGCCAGCGUUUUCAGCUGUACAUAGUUAUUUCCCAUAUAUUCAGUAAAAGUUUUCCAGUCUUCUCUAAAUGUAUGUUCUUUUUGUUCUCUUCUUCUGUAUGUCUGCAAGCUGCACAUAUUCUGUCAACUUAAGCUGCCACUCUUCUUUAGUUGGGACUUUGCUCAUUUUCCAUUUUUGGGCUAACAAAACACGGGCCGCAGUAGUGGCCUACAUAAAUAACCUUUUUUGACACCUGGGAAUUUCAGUCUGAAUUAUCCCCAACAGAAAGGACUCGGGGGGGGGGGUCUUGGGGGGGGGGAGUACUUUUAAACAUAUUUUUCAGUUUGUUAUGGAUCAUUUCCCAAUACACUUUUACUCUUUUACAACUCCACCAAAAAUGUUCCCUCAGACCCAGAUCUUUCAAUGCUGGUGUUCUUGAGGACUGGGGUGGGGGUGGCUCCCACUCUUCCUUUGAUACCACCAAGGGUUUUUCAGCAGGCCUUCCCUGAGAAUAUCCCUCAAGGGGAUCCUCAGUGCUAGUUCUAAGAGACCCUGUGUGCUCCUCAAAGUCCUUGGAGUUCACCCUCUGAGGACUCUACAUUUGUUCACCCUCUGAGGACUCUACAUUUACCAGGUCAGGGCUAGGCAUGGCAGUAGAACCAUUUCCUUCUCUAUUGUCUAUUUCCUCUCUAGGAAUUAAUUCUACUGCUUUAAUCCUGAGAUGGUGAACCUGCAGCCCUCCAGAUUCUAUUGGACUCCAACCCAUCAGCCCCAGUCAGCAUGGCCAGUGAUCAGGGAUGAUAGGAGCAGCAGCCCCCUGCCCCUACUUUAGCCCUCUUCUUUAACACUGUCUUUGGAUCCUUUCUUUUUCUCCCUCCGCACACAAAAAUAAUUGUGUGUGCGUGUGUGAAGUGCAGUGGGGGCAGGGAGAAGUAGUAUUUCAGCCUUUCUCACACAAAUAAUGGUCCCAGUGAAAACUGUCCCCCUCCAACAUUUGGGGCAGAGGAAAGGAAGACUGCACACUUGGCCACAGAGUGUUAGUUUUCUGGAAGCAGAGCUCUGCUUCUGCUUCCAGUUUAAGACAAAACAGCUGUGAUGGGGAUGCUGCCACAUCUGGAAGCCCCCCUAGAAGAAGCCCCCAUUGGGGUUGUCUUUUAUCCUCGUUUGUGUGCAACGUGUGGCAAUGCCCUUAAAACAUUUCUCUUUUUGGUUUGUUCCAGGACACGAAGGAAAGAUCGGGAUGGCAUCCAUAUGCCUGAAGGAUGGGCUGCCCUUUGAUGGGAAGGAGGUGUAUGCCCAUGCCAAGGACUGCUUGCCAAACUAUGCUAUACCUCGCUUCAUUCGCGUCCGGGUAAGGCGCUGCUCUGUUGCAUCACUCUUUAGUCUGUAUUAUUAAUGUUGUUAGCUGUCAGGAGUGAGCCUUCAGUAAAUCACAUGGAGUAUGUGUAGUUAACUCUUUGGUACAAAAAACAGGAUCUGCGCAGGAGUGCCAGGCCUAAUAAGCACACCAACUCUUCUUCAGUAGGUCUUGCCUCCGUGAGGCAGUGGCGGAGAAUGAAGGUCCCUGCCUUCCCACAGCUGUCUAUGUCACCUCCUCUUCCAGCAAGCAAUAUGAGACUGCGCCUGCAUGCCUGUCUCUGCUCCUCCCACUUCAUGCCUCUCCUGGUUCUGAGAUAUUAGUGAGGAAAGGAACGGGUCGCAGCAGGAGGGGGAGACACCUGUGCUUCUUCACCAGCCUGUCCCAUCUCUGCUCCUUGGCCUCCCUCCUCUCCUGCUUCUGAUUCUGGACUUCUCUCUGCCACCGCCUCUUCCUGCUCACUAAACCCUGUUACCUAUUAGCUCUCAAGAAGCGGGAGAGUUAGGAGGCAGCCAGAGUGUUGCUAGGCAAUCAGCAGAUAAGCAGAGGACUGAGAGUGUGUCGAGUGGAAGGGGGAAGGCCAGCCUCUCAUUCCCUGUUCUAGGAGAAUGGAUAAGGUCAGAGGACAACAGAUGGGCAAGAGGGGAAGGGCUGGAAUUUGACGUCCUUCCUGCUGUGAAAGGGGUGGAGAUUCAGACUGACCAACUAUCAUCAAUGCGAGCAGGCGAGAAGCCGUGCUCUGGAUGUGUUUUUUAUAAAUAAAUGUAACAUAAAACUGCCGGAGAGUCAUUACUUCUUAUCAGGGCUUGCUUGCCUGCCUGAGAUGAUUACAGGUGGGGCGUCAUUCAUGCUUCUGUACUCACCCCAGUGCCCUUUUCACACAGGACAUGCUGGAGACCACAGGCACUUUUAAGCAGCUCAAAAGUCAACUGGUGAAGGAAGGCUUUGACCCUGUCAUCAUCAGGGACCCUCUCUUCUUCCUAGAUGACUUGGAAAAAAGUUACGUGCCAAUGACUCAGCAGAUCUUCAGUGCCAUUGCAGAGAAGAAACUGAAGCUGUGAAUGCCUCUUUAGCUGUCCUUAGUAGCACAGGAAACCCAAGAACAACUAGAGCACUGAACACUUUGGCUUUUGUCUGGGAAGGGCAUGCAUGCAUCUCCAUGAAUUCUUGAGAAUCCUGCACAAGUUAGUUCGGAGGACCUUUUGUUGUUUUUUUAAAGGAGUGCCUGCUUUUUCUUUUUCCCUGUAGACUUUGUCCUUCUGUGUUCACACAACACAUUUGCUCUGCAAUGUAUAUAUUGCAAACUACAUACAUGAGGCUGUCACCGGGGUCCUCUGCUCCCUACCCACUGGAAUACUUUUGCGUGUUAUCACACAUUUGCAUGUAGCUGUGCACACAUGUACAAAUGUGGUCCAGGGAUUAAUGUAAACCUGUGCAGGAAGCAAUCUUCGCCAGUUGCCACUUUUGUGUUUGUUGCAGGGAGAUGUCUGUGUGUCAUUUGCAGAGAUCUUCCAGGCAAUAUGUUUGUGGAGCAUUCAUUCCACCCUAUUCAUUUUCGCAAAGUUUGUGCAGACAUCACAUCAAACAAUUGCUAUUCUGCCGUUUCCAGUGCAUUUCCCUGUCACUUCCCUUACCAAAAGUUCGGGAUUUGUGUUAGUUUGUUUGAAGCAUGCUUGCUGCACAAGAUAAUCAAAUCUGCUUUAAUUGCACAACCUCAAUUUGCUGGUAUAGGAUGGAAUCCCACCCACAAAAUAGCUACAGUCUGGAAUCGGCCACAAUUGAUGGCAACACAUUUAAAUGCUGCCACUUAAAUUCAGGUGAACCAGCCACAGAAAGCACAGUGUGGUCUUCAUGCUUCUAGGCUGGAACCUCAUGGAGGAAACAUCACGUCGUCUUCUCAUUAGUUUGUGUUCUCUUUUUGUAUUUUUAUGUUGUGAACCACCUUGUGAACUUCGAAUGGAUUUAAUAAAUAAUAUUAAUGAUACGACCAGAUCGUUGCGCAUCUGGAACAACAAAAGAACUAGGAUCGGUGCUUCAU